rnacentral:lncRNA from 1 species
CACAUAUUUACUUCAAAACUAAUUGUGUUGUGGACUAUUUUGUCAAUCGUAGCCAUUCUUUUGCUUACGACUUAGGUAUUUUAUUCGCCUGAUUGAGGCAUAUCUCAUUGAUUGAACUAUGAUAUCAUUGAUGUUUCUCUUACUUGUUGGUGGCUUCUAAUAAUACAUAGCCGUGCUCCCACGCCGUAUUCUAAAACUAACAAAAUCUGACAAUGCAUAUAUAUCAACUCUUCCACCUAAUCCCUUAGUUGAUUCAACUUAAUAAGAUUCAGAAACAAAACCAUACGUAGCCUAUUCAUCAUCCAAUAGAUCCUUGCGCAUAUUCAUCAAUCAUCAUUAAUCCCACUCUUCAGAACUAGUCGACCUUCCACCUCCACCACCACCACUGACGAUGAUGAAGACCCUUUUAAGUCGUUGUCUCGGGCUCUCAGCCAAGCUCACGUUGUCGCCGGUGGCUGCUAAACUCUCGAAGAAGGAACUAGAUCUGGAAAUCCCUGGACUACUGAUAAAUAGAUAGAUGGGCCACAAUCUUCUCGCGAGUAAAUAUUUUUCGCUCUGCUCUCCUCGUCGGGAAAGUAGCCGAUGACAAAAAAGGAUUGAUGUAGAUCUGUUUGCAAGUAAUUUGGGAAGUACUGAACUACUGAUAAUAUAUAGAUAGAUGGGGAAGGUAAAAACGAGCUGGAGAAGAAAUAUUCGUUUUGUGUUAAGCUUGCAAAGAUAGAAAGAAUACUGUGGCCGGUAAUGGAAGACGUCGUCAUGGCGACAAUGGAGGAGCUGAGGAGGAGGAAGGGAAGGGGAGAAGACGAUGAUGAUUAAGUUUUUUAUUUUUAUUUUUUAAUGUAUUUGUUAUAAACUUUUUUAUAUACUUUUUAAAUAUUUUAAUUUUUAAAAUAAAAGGUUGAUGUGGAAUCUCACAUGUCAUUUUAGACUAAUUAACUAGUGGUCACAUAUGAUUAACCUGCCACGUUACUAACCAUAUUAAGUCACAUAUGCAAAGUAAUAGAGAAAAG